GGGAAUGCCUAGGAGGGCUUGUGCAAUAUAUUGCUGAGUUUUAAAACAGGAUGUAUUCAUUCGUGCAUUGUGUAAUUCAAAAAUAACAGAAAAAAAUAUGCAUGGCUUUUGGACCCAGGAAUUUAAGUUUGGGGAUUCACAGUAGUGAAGAAGUGGCCUUGAAGUGUUUACUUGAAGCUUGCAGUCCAAUGUGGGGGCCAUGUUUUUAUCCGUAGCAUAGUUAUGAGCCACACAAGAGUGCCACAGGAGAGAGGCAGCUAGGGAAAAUCUGAAAGGUUGAGGGCAACUCUGAAAAAACUGUGAUUGAGUUGGUUGCAUCCUGAUUCCAGGCAUGGAAACUUGUGUGUCCUAGAAUCCCCCUAAUGUGACCCAGAGGGGCUUGGGCCUGGAGUGGUUAAAAAACAACAAAAAAAAAGGCUUUUCUGAGCUUAGUUGUGAACAUCUUAACAUCCAGACCCAGGGGACGCUGCUGAGCUGUGUUCCAAGUCUGCAUCAUGGGCAUCGGAGCAGAGAAUGGGAGUUCCAGGGUCUCUGGGCUCCCCUCCUGCUGGGAUCUGGCCGUCGCCUACCUCUGGCUCUCCUGGAGGGUCCUGGCCUUUCAGUGGUUUUCCUUAGCCUCUCUGAUGACGAAACCAGCGGAGCCUCUUCUCUGUUCGCCCACCAUUCGGACACCUUCUUUACGGUGCGCCUGUUCAAGUCUUGUGCGCACAGGCGUCUCCCGUCAGUGUGGAGUUCUUUGUGUGUUCUGGAUGCAGGACUGCAAGUCCCUUUCUCAUUUGGUAGCUCCCUUUCACUCUUUAUUUAUUUAUUGGUAUCAGGGAUUGAACCCAGAGGUUCUCAACCACUGAGCCACAUCCCCAGCCCUUUUUCAUUUUUUAAUUUCGAGACAGGGUCUUGCUGAGUUGCUUAGGGUCUCGCUAAGUUGCUGAGGCUGGUUUUGAAC
rnacentral:lncRNA from 1 species